rnacentral:rRNA from 1 species
UACAGAGGGGGCAAGCGUUGUUCGGAAUUACUGGGCGUAAAGGGCGCGUAGGCGGCCUGCUAAGUCGAACGUGAAAUCCCCGGGCUCAACCCGGGAACUGCGUCCGAUACUGGCAGGCUUGAAUCCGGGAGAGGGAUGCGGAAUUCCAGGUGUAGCGGUGAAAUGACGUAGAUAUCUGGAGGAACACCGGUGGCGAAGGCGGCAUCCUGGACCGGCAUUGACGCUGAGGCGCGAAAGCCAGGGGAGCAAACGGG